rnacentral:misc_RNA from 1 species
GAAAAAUUAAAGGCAAGAAAAAUCUCAUUUUAUUUCACAGGAUUUUGCUCAGGCUGGAGUUUUAAUUCAUAGCUUUAUCAAUAUAGCUUCAUAUCUACACGACCAUCUGAAAAGUAGGGGUACGUAACCCUUUUUCAGGUUCCCAUUACUGAGAUUAUCAUAUGGCUAGGAUUCAUAAACGGGUAAUAAUGUAUAAUAGCUGUUCUAAAAUAUCUCAUUUUGAUAAAAAUUAACAUUUAUGGGGGAUUAAGCAGGAAGCUUUAGCUCGGAGGUGCAUCUUUCUUCCCUGUUAUCUUUUUACUCCAUCCCAAUUUCCCUCUGUAUAUGUUUCUUUUAAUUCAUUUCUUUUCAUUAUCUUUCUGUCAUUUGCUGCACUACCAGAUUUUUAACCUAUUGCACCACACUAAACACCUAUUCCACGUCUCUAAUUCUACCAUUCUUUCACACCUUAUAAUUCCCCAACCUUAUUGAUUUACAGGACAACCCACAAGCUCAUAAUCAACUGUCCUAAUAGCCCAAUAAGAUGGCUAUUCCCAUAGCAUUGAUAGAAAACAAUAAAU